AUUUGACGUUACCUACAGAAGAAGACACCGGCUAACUCCGUGCCAGCAGCCGCGGUAAUACGGAGGGUGCGAGCGUUAAUCGGAAUUACUGGGCGUAAAGCGCAUGCAGGCGGCCGUGUUAAGUCAGAUGUGAAAGACCCGGGGCGUUAACCUCGGAAUUGCAUUUGAAACUGGCAGGCUAGAGUCUUGUAGAGGGGGGUAGGAAUUUCAGGUGUAGCGGUGAAAUGCGUAGAGAUCUGAAGGAAUACCAGUGGCGAAGGCGGCCCCCUCGGACAAAGACUGACGCUCAGAUGCGAAAGCGUGGGGAGCAAACAGGAUUAGAUACCCCUGGUAG
rnacentral:rRNA from 1 species